rnacentral:rRNA from 1 species
GUCUCAGUACAGACUGUAAUAAAGUGAAACCGCAAAAGGCUCAGUAAACCAGUUUUAAUUUACUAGAGUAAGCUUGACUGUCUUUGGAUAACUGUGGUAAUUCUAGAGCUAAUACAUGCAACAAAGCCCUGACUUAACACGGGAAGGGCGCUUUUAUUAGAUCAAAACUGAUCGCCUUUCAGGCGUAGUCUUGAUGAACCUAGAUAACUCUUCAGAUCGUAUGGUCACCGUACCGGCGACUUAUCUUUCAAAUGCCUGACUUAUCAACUGUCGAUGGUAGACUCUGUGUCUACCAUGGCUGUUACGGGUAACGGGGAAUCAGGGUUCGAUUCCGGAGAGGGAGCCUGAGAAACGGCUACCACAUCCAAGGAAGGCAGCAGGCACGCAAAUUACCCACUCCCGGCACGGGGAGGUAGUGACAAAAAAUAACGAUACGGGACUCUUUUGAGGCCUCGUAAUCGGAAUGAGUACACUUUAAAUCCUUUAACAAGGAUCCAUUGGAGGGCAAGUCUUGUGCCAGCAGCCGCGGUAAUUCCAGCUCCAAUAGCGUAUAUUAAAGUUGUUGCGGUUAAAAAGCUCGUAGUUGGUUUUGCGUGCCACGCUGUCGGUACACCGUUUGUCGGUGCAACUGGCAUGCCGUGGCAUGUCCUGUCGGUGGCGACCAGAGACCAGACUCGCCGAAGGUCUCGACCCGAGGCGGUUUCGGUUUUUCGGUCGCCGACUAUAUCCUACCGCGGUGCUCUUAACUGAGUGUCGAGGUAGGCCGACACGUUUACUUUGAACAAAUUAGAGUGCUUAAAGCAGGCUAAAAUCUCUGCCUGAAUAGUGGUGCAUGGAAUAAUGGAACAGGACCUUGGUUCUAUUUUGUUGGUUUUCGGAACACAAGGUAAUGAUCAAUAUGGACAGGCGGGGGCUUUCGUAAUGGCACGUUAGAGGUGAAAUUCUUGGAUCGUCGCAAGACGCACUAGAGCGAAAGCAUUUGCCAAGUUAAUGU